rnacentral:rRNA from 1 species
AACGAACGCUGGCGGCAUGCCUAACACAUGCAAGUCGAACGAGACCUUCGGGUUUAGUGGUGCACGGGUGCGUAACGCGUGGGAACCUGCCUUUAGGUUCGGAAUAACUCAGAGAAAUUUGAGCUAAUACCGGAUGAUGUCUUCGGACCAAAGAUUUAUCGCCUUUAGAUGGGCCCGCGUUGGAUUAGCUAGUUGGUGGGGUAAAGGCCGACCAAGGCGACGAUCCGUAGCUGGGCUGAGAGGAUGGUCAGCCACACUGGAACUGAGACACGGCCCAGACUCCUACGGGAGGCAGAAGGGGGGAAUAUUGGACAAUGGGCGAAAGCCUGAUAAAGCAAUGGCGCGUGUGUGAAGAAGGUCUUCGGAUUGUAAAGCACUUUAAGUUGGGAGGAAGGGCAGUAAGUUAAUAACUUGAUGUUUUGACGUUAACAAAAGAAUAAGCAACGGCUAACUUCGUG